rnacentral:misc_RNA from 1 species
GAUGAAGAACGCAGCGAAAUGCGAUAAGUAGUGUGAAUUGCAGAAUUCAGUGAAUCAUCGAAUCUUUGAACGCACAUUGCGCCCCUUGGUAUCCCGAGGGGCAUGCCAGUUCGAGCGUCAUUUCACCACUCAAGCCUGGCUUGGUGUUGGGCGACGUCCCCUUUGGGGACGCGCCUCGAAACGCUCGGCGGCGUGGCACCGGCUUUAAGCGUAGCAGAAUCUUUCGCUUUGGAAGUCGGGGCCCCGUCUGCCGGAAGACCUACUCGCAAGGUUGACCUCGGAUCAGGCAGGGAUACCCGCUGAACUUAAGCAUAUCAAUAAGCGGAGGA